rnacentral:rRNA from 1 species
CGCGGCCUAUCAGCUUGUUGGUGGGGUGAUGGCCUACCAAGGCGACGACGGGUAGCCGGCCUGAGAGGGCGACCGGCCACACUGGGACUGAGACACGGCCCAGACUCCUACGGGAGGCAGCAGUGGGGAAUAUUGCACAAUGGGCGGAAGCCUGAUGCAGCGACGCCGCGUGAGGGAUGACGGCCUUCGGGUUGUAAACCUCUUUCAGCAGGGACGAAGCGUAAGUGACGGUACCUGCAGAAGAAGCGCCGGCCAACUACGUGCCAGCAGCCGCGGUAAGACGUAGGGCGCGAGCGUUGUCCGGAUUUAUUGGGCGUAAAGAGCUCGUAGGCGGCUUGUCGCGUCGACCGUGAAAACCUGGGGCUCAACCCCAGGCCUGCGGUCGAUACGGGCAGGCUAGAGUUCGGUAGGGGAGACUGGAAUUCCUGGUGUAGCGGUGAAAUGCGCAGAUAUCAGGAGGAACACCGGUGGCGAAGGCGGGUCUCUGGGCCGAUACUGACGCUGAGGAGCGAAAGCGUGGGGAGCGAGCAGGAUUAGAUACCCUGGUAGUCCACGUUGUAAACGUUGGGCGCUAGGUGUGGGGGGCCUCUCCGGUUCCCUGUGCCGCAGCUAACGCAUUAAGCGCCCCGCCUGGGGAGUACGG